rnacentral:rRNA from 1 species
GGGUUGUGAGGUUAAGCGACUAAGCGUACACGGUGGAUGCCCUGGCAGUCAGAGGCGAUGAAGGACGUGCUAAUCUGCGAUAAGCGUCGGUGAGGUGAUAUGAACCGUUAUAACCGGCGAUUUCCGAAUGGGGAAACCCAGUGUGUUUCGACACACUAUCAUUAACUGAAUCCAUAGGUUAAUGAGGCGAACCGGGGGAACUGAAACAUCUAAGUACCCCGAGGAAAAGAAAUCAACCGAGAUUCCCCCAGUAGCGGCGAGCGAACGGGGAGGAGCCCAGAGCCUGAAUCAGUGUGUGUGUUAGUGGAAGCGUCUGGAAAGGCGUGCGAUACAGGGUGACAGCCCCGUACACAAAAAUGCACAUAUUGUGAGCUCGAUGAGUAG